rnacentral:rRNA from 1 species
AUUGAACGCUGGCGGCAGGCCUAACACAUGCAAGUCGAGCGGCAGCGGAAAGUAGCUUGCUACUUUGCCGGCGAGCGGCGGACGGGUGAGUAAUGUCUGGGAAACUGCCUGAUGGAGGGGGAUAACUACUGGAAACGGUAGCUAAUACCGCAUGACCUCGAAAGAGCAAAGUGGGGGAUCUUCGGACCUCACGCCAUCGGAUGUGCCCAGAUGGGAUUAGCUAGUAGGUGAGGUAAUGGCUCACCUAGGCGACGAUCCCUAGCUGGUCUGAGAGGAUGACCAGCCACACUGGAACUGAGACACGGUCCAGACUCCUACAGGAGGCAGCAGUGGGGAAUAUUGCACAAUGGGCGCAAGCCUGAUGCAGCCAUGCCGCGUGUGUGAAGAAGGCCUUAGGGUUGUAAAGCACUUUCAGCGAGGAGGAAGGCAUCAUACUUAAUACGUGUGGUGAUUGACGUUACUCGCAGAAGAAGCACCGGCUAACUCCGUGCCAGCAGCCGCGGUAAUACGGAGGGUGCAAGCGUUAAUCGGAAUUACUGGGCGUAAAGCGCACGCAGGCGGUUUGUUAAGUCAGAUGUGAAAUCCCCGCGCUUAACGUGGGAACUGCAUUUGAAACUGGCAAGCUAGAGUCUUGUAGAGGGGGGUAGAAUUCCAGGUGUAGCGGUGAAAUGCGUAGAGAUCUGGAGGAAUACCGGUGGCGAAGGCGGCCCCCUGGACAAAGACUGACGCUCAGGUGCGAAAGCGUGGGGAGCAAACAGG